rnacentral:rRNA from 1 species
GACGAACGCUGGCGGCGUGCUUAACACAUGCAAGUCGAACGGAAAGGCCCUGCUUUUGUGGGGUGCUCGAGUGGCGAACGGGCGAGUAACACGUGAGUAACCUGCCCUUGACUUUGGGAUAACUUCAGGAAACUGGGGCUAAUACCGGAUAGGAGCUCCUGCUGCAUGGUGGGGGUCGGAAAGUUUCGGCGGUUGGGGAUGGACUCGCGGCUUAUCAGCUUGUUGGUGGGGUAGUGGCUUACCAAGGCUUUGACGGGUAGCCGGCCUGAGAGGGUGACCGGCCACAUUGGGACUGAGAUACGGCCCAGACUCCUACGGGAGGCAGCAGUGGGGAAUAUUGCACAAUGGGCGGAAGCCUGAUGCAGCAACGCCGCGUGCGGGAUGACGGCCUUCGGGUUGUAAACCGCUUUCGCCUGUGACGAAGCGUGAGUGACGGUAAUGGGUAAAGAAGCACCGGCUAACUACGUG